GCCUGUUGUUUCCAAGUUACUUUUUUUUAUUUUCAUUGGUUGCCUGCCUGUUUUUGGAUGCUAGCUGACCUGGACCUCUUGACAUGAUGCUGAUGGCAUGCAAAAAGUCUAAUCAAGGAGGAACAGUAUCACUCCAGCCACUGUGAAGCAUCUGGAUGAGUUACAUCAGCCGACCUUCUAACAAGAACCUGCAUUGAUUUCAAUCCUGAGAGGGCCAUUAAAGCAAGCCAUCCCAGCACAAAGCAAGAAGAGUGGCGGGAUGGUCAAAAAGAAGGCAACGCCAGUGAAUCCACAUCUUCACACUCAACAAGAUGCUCAGUGACUUCAAGUGGGACAUUGUAUGAUUUUUUUUUUUUACACACACACUCACACACACACACACACACACACACA